GAUGCUAAUACCGGAUAACAACAGAUGAUGCCUAUCAACUGUUUAAAAGAUGGUUCUGCUAUCACUCUUGGAUGGACCUGCGGUGCAUUAGCUAGUUGGUAGGGUAACGGCCUACCAAGGCGAUGAUGCAUAGCCGAGUUGAGAGACUGAUCGGCCACAUUGGGACUGAGACACGGCCCAAACUCCUACGGGAGGCAGCAGUA
rnacentral:rRNA from 1 species